GAAAUAUGAGGUCUUUGGCUCCUUUCCCAGAACUGCCAGGCUAAGACCUUGGCAGAGACUCAACAGGAAACUGAACACUAUUUGCAUAUCCUUUUAUACAUGGGAGAUUAAAAGCUUCAACCUUGAGUGAUCACAGUUUUUAAGAAUCAUGAUGAGGCAUUAAAGAGAAGGAGGAGCGUCUCAAGGGAGGUGAGCUGGAGGCGAAGCAAGACUGCAAGCUCUUCUUAGCAGGUGGAAGUUUCCCCGGAUCUCAGAGAGUUUCUUUCCAGCAUGUGAUUUGGCACAGGCUUACAGCAGAUCAUAGUCAUCCAAGGAGCCCUGCCUUUAAGAGUGAAAAUAUGUCCAGUGCCCUGAAGGGAUCACCUGUGUUUGGAGGUGGUGAAUUAUCUUUUGCUUUCCUGGAAUUGCUGAUUUCACAGUGAAGAUCUGCUGUCACACACAAAGAGCUGUGGGCAGAAUGUAAAGUUAUUGCUGCCUCUGGAAAUCCUCUUUGGUUUCCCCUGCUUGCUGGAAGAACUGGGUGGGUAGGGGGGUGCUGAUGGUCCUCAGGUAGAACAUGGAGAGGCCAGAACAGAGGUUUUCAUGCUGAUAAGAGACUAGUCUUAUGCCUUUGUUGGUAGAAGUCUCUUUAUAAAAAAAACAAAAUGAGGGCACCUGGGUGGCUCAGUUGGUUAAGCGACUGCCUUUGGCUCAGGUCAUGAUCCCGGAGUCCCGGGAUCGAGUCCCACAUUGGGCCCCCUGCUCGACCGGGAGUCUGCUUCUCCCUCUGACCCUCC
rnacentral:lncRNA from 1 species